GGUCUGUGAUGCCCUUAGAUGUUUUGGGCCGCACGCGCGCUACACUGACAGAGCCAACGAGUUCAUUUCCUUGCCCGGAAGGGUUGGGUAAUCUUGUUAAACUCUGUCGUGCUGGGGAUAGAGCAUUGCAAUUAUUGCUCUUCAACGAGGAAUGCCUAGUAAGCGCAAGUCAUCAGCUUGCGUUGAUUACGUCCCUGCCCUU
rnacentral:rRNA from 1 species